UUAUGGAUAUAGUAAUUUCGUGGCACUCUUUACCAAUGCUCUUUACACGUGUUAAAUAAAGAGAAGGACUCGGUUCCACUGUCUUACAACAUUCAAGAUGGCGGAGGAAAGGGGUAAAUGUGCGUUCAGUUGUGAUCAGCAUGAUCUCGACACCAAAAUAACGAUUACCGUUAUUUCUAAAUUGGCCCUGAAAUAACGAAUAUCAUAAUUUCAGUGCAUGUCUGAGACCUUCGGGCUCGAAGCUUGGGAACUAGUAUUCAGGGAAAGAUAAAAUGGCGGCUUACGGCGGCGAAGGAAAUCUCAGUAGUUUAAUAUUUAGCGUGAAAAGGCUUGGGUGUUGUGAUCUGGUUCUCAAGUAAAAAAAAAAUCACGGUCUGCAAUGGCCCUACCACCUUUUGAACAACAAGAAAACAUUGAAACGGUGGUAAAAAGCAGCAAGUUUCGAAGUCUAAACGAAAGAUGGGUGGUCAUUAUCCAUUACUUUUGGAAGUCGAUGCUGAUGAGAAAGAAAAAAUGUUUAUGAUUAUUUCUUCUCUCGAACAUUUUACUAUUUAGGUACCAAAUAAUCUUGAUACUGAAGAUCAUUGCAUCCAUUAUGAAAAAAUUACCCUUGAUUGCUUUGUCAACUGGAAUGUAUAAUGUAAUAUACCUUGUGAUUUGUGGGAUUUUCACAAGUAAACUAGAAAUACUUGAAGAGGGUAAUGAUGUACUUAAUGCAGAGCAUUUGGUACAAAGUCUGCUUUGCUGUAAUCUACCUGAAGGUGCUUUUUAUAUGCUAGUAAGACUUGCACAGCCCAGUCAAAAUGUUUUUGAGUAGUAGAAAAGCUGGCCAAACCUCUUCCUGAAAAGCAGUCUGAAAAAUGUGAAGUUAGCGGAAGGUACUUCAUUGUAGGCGGCCAAAUUGUAAGCUGCCAGCCCAUUUUGAGUGAGCAGUAAAACUCAAGAUUGGCUAUUUUAGCUAAUUUUAUUGAGAACCAAAUUCCCAGCAACGGGCACAAUUUUACUGGGCUAUUUGUUAUUUAACUACUUAGUAAUAUUCUUAUUAAAAUUUACUGCAUUCCUUUCUAAUAA